GACGAACGCUGGCGGCGUGCUUAACACAUGCAAGUCGAACGGAAAGGCCUGCUUUCCCUUGUGGAUUGCGGGUACUCGAGUGGCGAACGGGUGAGUAACACGUGAGUGAUCUGCCCCCAACUUGGGUAUAAGCCUGGGAAACUGGGUCUAAUUCCCGAUAGGACUGCAGGGUGGUGCCUGUGGUGGAAAACGAUUUUCUAGUGGUUGGGGAUGAGCUCGCGGCCGAUCAGCUUGUUGGUGGGGUAAUGGCCUACCAAGGCGGCGACGGGUAGCCGGGCUGGGAGGGUGGACGGCCACAUUGGGACUGAGAUACGGCCCAGACUCCUACGGGAGGCAGCAGUGGGGAAUAUUGCACAAUGGGCGGAAGCCUGAUGCAGCGACGCCGCGUGGGGGAUGACGGCCUUCGGGUUGUAAACUCCUUUCGACCGCGAGGAAGCCACCUGGUUGGAAGGGUGGUGACGGUAGUGGUAGAAGAAGCACCGGCUAACUACGUG
rnacentral:rRNA from 1 species